rnacentral:rRNA from 1 species
GAUGAACGCUGGCGGCGUGCCUAACACAUGCAAGUCGAACGAAGCAACCGGGGCUUGCUCUGGUUGACUUAGUGGCGGACGGGUGAGUAAUGCGUGAGCAACCUGCCUUUCAGAGGGGGACAACAGUUGGAAACGACUGCUAAUACCGCAUAAUGUAUUUUGGAGGCAUCUCCGAGAUACCAAAGGAGCAAUCCGCUGAAAGAUGGGCUCACGUCUGAUUAGUUAGUUGGUAGGGUAACGGCCUACCAAGACUGCGAUCAGUAGCCGGACUGAGAGGUUGAACGGCCACAUUGGGACUGAGAUACGGCCCAGACUCC